rnacentral:rRNA from 1 species
UGGGGAAUAUUGGACAAUGGGCGAAAGCCUGAUCCAGCCAUGCCGCGUGUGUGAAGAAGGUCUUCGGAUUGUAAAGCACUUUAAGUUGGGGGGAAGGGCAUUAACCUAAUACGUUAGUGUUUUGACGUUACCGACAGAAUAAGCACCGGCUAACUCUGUGC